rnacentral:rRNA from 1 species
CAGAAGCCACGGGAAUACGUAGGUGGCAAGCGUUGUCCGGAAUUAUUGGGCGUAAAGGGCUCGCAGGCGGUUUCUUAAGUCUGAUGUGAAAGCCCCCGGCUCAACCGGGGAGGGUCAUUGGAAGCUGGGAAACUUGAGUGCAGAAGAGGAGAGUGGAAUUCCACGUGUAGCGGUGAAAUGCGUAGAGAUGUGGAGGAACACCAGUGGCGAAGGCGACUCUCUGGUCUGUAACUGACGCUGAGGAGCGAAAGCGUGGGGAGCGAACAGGAUUAGAUACCCCGGUAGUCCCUGUCUCUUAUAC